rnacentral:lncRNA from 1 species
CUGGGCAUGGCUGUGAGGGAGGCACUUGGUGGGAUACAUGCCUGAGAUGGAAACAGUCUCGUCCUCACCCAGCAGGUGGGACUUGUCGGUGGGGGACAAGCCAAGGGUCCCGCAGCUGCCAGUUGGCCCUCCUUCACAUGCUUAUCUGAUGUGGUGCAGGAACAACAGGCGGAGGUGAGAGGUCAGUCCACAGAAGGGAGGUCUGAGGGAGCAGCCGCCACGGGUGUCCCACCCAACGCUGGCAAACAGUUCUGUGCACAAGGGAUGCAGCUGAAUGGUGCUGACGGUGGAGCUCACAGAGCUCCUGCAUUCUCAAGGUUUGGAUACAUUCUGGGAAGGGUGAACUGGUGUAAGAGUCACAUAAUACGUGGAGGGGUGUAAUAAUCAAAAAAACGUAGCAAAACACCUUCUGUGCCUGAGCCAGGGUUGAGGGAGCCGAGAAGAAAGUCCACAGCUCUGCCACACGGGCCAGCAGUGCUCAUGUCUGCUGGCUGAUCCUCCCCAAAGCCUCUCCUGCCACCUUUUUUUUUUUUUUUUUAACUAAACUAAAUGGUCAAUACUGCCAUCUCUCUUGAUAAUGACAAAGUGUUUGCACAGGAUGCCUACAGGUGUGUGUGUCGCUCCUCACUAAUGGAUCCGUAGUCAUAUAGCUGUGAGAGGCACUCCUGGGUUGAAAAUGAAGGCAAUUAUCACAUUACUGUCAGUCCUGACUGAGUCACCUCUAGAGUUUAUGCUUUCAGCCUUAAUUGAAAUGAAGACAAUUAUAUAAAAUUCUCACAUAAUUGAUCACAAAUGUGAUCACAGCCACUCUUGACUAAGAUUGGUGCCGGCCAAUCUGCUGUGAGGGAAUGAAGAGAGGAGAGGAACUGCGAUGUCAGUCCCUGAUUCUACUGCAAGUUUCCAAGCACAUGAAAUCCCAUUCUAGCUUUGGAGACCCCAAUGUGACAAGAAUCUCCCUGUGCUUUAAAUCAUCUCUCACCCAUGCUAAGCUGUGAUCCCUCACCAAGUCUAUGAAACCUGGAAAAGGAGUGAGAGUGCGCGGGGUGUGUGUGUGUUUUAUAUAUUCAGGGGUCGUUCCAAAAGGGGCAAACUAUUGCUCUUCGUGUGUGUGUUUUAUAUAUUCAGGGGUCGUUCCAA